GCAAACUCACCUCGGACCUGGGUGAAUCCAGCGCCAAACUCAAGGAGCGCGACCGGAAAAUCACCAAGCUCGCUGCUGAGAUCCG